CCCUUAGAUGUUCUGGGCCGCACGCGUGCUACACUGAGUGGAUCAGCGGGUCAGGUUGCGCGAAAGCGUUUCCUAAUCUUUAAAUCCGCUCGUGAUGGGGAUUGACGGUUGCAAUUUUCUGUCAUGAACGAGGAAUACCUUGUAAGCGCGGGUCAUCAUCCCGCGCUGAAUACGUCCCUGCCCUUUGUACACACCGCCCGUCGCUCCUACCGAUUGAGUGGUCCGGUGAGGCUUUGGGAUCUGAGCGGAAAGAGCGUUUCGCUUGUUCUGUUUGGAAAACUUGGUCGAACCUUAUCAUUUAGAGGCAGGAGAAGUCGUUACA
rnacentral:rRNA from 1 species